rnacentral:rRNA from 1 species
UACGUAGGUGACCAGCGUUGUCCGGAUUUACUGGGCGUAAAGAGCGCGCAGGCGGUCGUUCAAGUCGAGUGUGAAAGCCCCCGGCUCAACUGGGGAGGGUCAUUCGAUACUGAUCGACUCGAAGGCAGGAGAGGGUAGUGGAAUUCUCGGUGUAGUGGUGAAAUGCGUAGAUAUCGGGAGGAACACCAGUGGCGAAGGCGACUACCUGGCCUGUUCUUGACGCUGAGGCGCGAAAGCUAGGGGAGCAAACGGG